rnacentral:rRNA from 1 species
AUUGAACGCUGGCGGCAGGCCUAACACAUGCAAGUCGAGCGGAUGAAGGGAGCUUGCUCCUGGAUUCAGCGGCGGACGGGUGAGUAAUGCCUAGGAAUCUGCCUGGUCGUGGGGGAUAACGUCCGGAAACGGGCGCUAAUACCGCAUACGUCCUGAGGGAGAAAGUGGGGGUUCUUCGGACCUCACGCUAUUAGAUGAGCCUAGGUCGGAUUAGCUAGUUGGUGGGGUAAAGGCCUACCAAGGCGACGAUCCGUAACUGGUCUGAGAGGAUGAUCAGUCACACUGGAACUGAGACACGGUCCAGACUCCUACGGGAGGCAGCAGUGGGGAAUAUUGGACAAUGGGCGAAAGCCUGAUCCAGCCAUGCCGCGUGUGUGAAGAAGGUCUUCGGAUUGUAAAGCACUUUAAGUUGGGAGGAAGGGCAGUAAGUUAAUACCUUGCUGUUUUGACGUUACCAACAGAAUAAGCACCGGCUAACUUCGUG